rnacentral:rRNA from 1 species
UACGGGGGGAGCAAGCGUUGUUCGGAUUUACUGGGCGUAAAGGGCGCGUAGGCGGCCAGCACAAGUCAGUUGUGAAAUCUCCGAGCUUAACUCGGAACGGUCAACUGAUACUGUGCGGCUAGAGUGCAGAAGGGGCAACUGGAAUUCUUGGUGUAGCGGUGAAAUGCGUAGAUAUCAAGAGGAACACCUGCGGCGAAGGCGGGUUGCUGGGCCGACACUGACGCUGAGGCGCGAAAGCCAGGGGAGCGAACGGG